CCCCUGUUCCUGUUGUUAGGAGUCUCACAAGAAGACCAAGCUACACAAUUGUCUCAUAUAUGCAGAGGGCCUAGGUUGGUCCCAGGAAGGCUCCCUGGUUGUUGCUUCUGCUCUGUGAGUGCCUAUGAGCCAGAUAACUCCAGGAAAAGGGAUUUCUGAUGUCGCCUUCACUUUGCUCCUAAGAACUCGCUGAGGAUGGCCUGCCUGUGCCGUUGUCUCUUCUGAGAUGGGACUAGAAGCUGUGCGCAGCAGCUGUUUGGGACUCAGUUCCCCCCUAUCGGUGCCAUCAUUACGUGUGUGCUCCUGGCUAUGGUGAUAGGGGGUGAAUGGCCACGUUGUCUAAGUCAGGCUCCUUAGAUACUGCAUUCCUUAGCUUUCUCACUGCUGUGACAAAAUGCCGGGUAAAGAACACUUAAGGAAGGAAGGAAGGAAGGAAGGAAGGGUUUAUUUGGGUUUGUGGCUUAAGGGAUACAGUCCAUCGUGGCGGGGAGGGAAUGGUGGCAGGAACAUGAGCAUUCUGGUCACACUGCACCCACAGCCAGGAAGCAGAGAGAGAGAGGACAGGAAGUGGGUCCAGGCUACAAAACACCAAUGCCUUCGCCCAGUGACUUCUUCCUCCAGUGAGGCUCUGCCUCCUCAAAUUGGGCCAUCAGCUGGGGACCUGUGUGUUCAAACACACAGCCUCUCAGGGGGAAUUUGUUUAAACCACAAUGGACACCUGCAAGUGUUUCAUUUACACUCUCGGGGGGAGUAAUCCUAUUUUUUUUCCGGAUUUGUAUCAGAAACAUAGACCCCCAAAUGCCGCUGACAAUUGUAUGACCUGUUGAGCUAGCACUGAGGAGCUGAUGGGGACAGCAUGGCCCGGCUUGUGCUCUGGAAGCCAGGCCCCUGCCUUCCCCCCGAACUGUUUGCCUAUUGCACUAAUAAACUCCCUUUACUGCCUGGA